AACGAACGCUGGCGGCAGGCCUAACACAUGCAAGUCGAGCGAACCCUUCGGGGUUAGCGGCGGACGGGUUAGUAACGCGUGGGAACGUGCCCAAAGGUACGGAAUAGCCUCGGGAAACUGAGAGUAAUACCGUAUGUGCCCUUCGGGGGAAAGAUUUAUCGCCUUUGGAUCGGCCCGCGUUGGAUUAGGUAGUUGGUGGGGUAAUGGCCUACCAAGCCGACGAUCCAUAGCUGGUUUGAGAGGAUGAUCAGCAACACUGGGACUGAGACACGGCCCAGACUCCUACGGGAGGCAGCAGUGGGGAAUCUUAGACAAUGGGGGAAACCCUGAUCUAGCCAUGCCGCGUGGACGAUGAAGGCCCUAGGGUUGUAAAGUCCUUUCAGCUGGGAAGAUAAUGACGGUACCAGCAGAAGAAGCCCCGGCUAACUCCGUGCCAGCAGCCGCAGUAAGAC
rnacentral:rRNA from 1 species